rnacentral:rRNA from 1 species
AUGUCAAAAGCCGGCAAGAAGUCUAGUAGUAGUAAUUCCAUGUACGAAGCUCCCCUCGGUUACAAGAUUGAGGACGUUCGCCCUGCCGGAGGAAUCAAGAAGUUCCAAUCUGCUGCCUACUCCAACUGCGCCCGCAAGCCCUCCUGA